rnacentral:rRNA from 1 species
GACGAACGCUGGCGGCGUGCCUAAUACAUGCAAGUCGAACGCACUCUCGUUUAGAUUGAAGGAGUUUGCUCCUGAUUGAUAAACAUUUGAGUGAGUGGCGGACGGGUGAGUAACACGUGGGUAACCUGCCCUAAAGUGGGGGAUAACAUUUGGAAACAGAUGCUAAUACCGCAUAAAACCUAACACCGCAUGGUGUAGGGUUGAAAGAUGGUUUCGGCUAUCACUUUAGGAUGGACCCGCGGUGCAUUAGUUAGUUGGUGAGGUAAAGGCUCACCAAGACCGUGAUGCAUAGCCGACCUGAGAGGGUAAUCGGCCACACUGGGACUGAGACACGGCCCAGACUCCUACGGGAGGCAGCAGUAGGGAAUCUUCCACAAUGGACGAAAGUCUGAUGGAGCGACGCCGCGUGAGUGAAGAAGGUUUUCGGAUCGUAAAACUCUGUUGUUGGAGAAGAAUGUAUCUGAUAGUAACUGAUCAGGUAGUGACGGUAUCCAACCAGAAAGCCACGGCUAACUACGUG